rnacentral:rRNA from 1 species
CGCGGCCUAUCAGCUUGUUGGUGAGGUAACGGCCCACCAAGGCGACGACGGGUAGCCGGCCUGAGAGGGCGACCGGCCACACUGGGACUGAGAUACGGCCCAGACUCCUACGGGAGGCAGCAGUGGGGAAUAUUGCGCAAUGGGCGAAAGCCUGACGCAGCGACGCCGCGUGAGGGAUGACGGCCUUCGGGUUGUAAACCUCUUUCAGCAGGGACGAAGCGAAAGUGACGGUACCUGCAGAAGAAGCACCGGCCAACUACGUGCCAGCAGCCGCGGUAACACGUAGGGUGCGAGCGUUGUCCGGAAUUAUUGGGCGUAAAGAGCUUGUAGGCGGUCCAUUACGUCGGCUGUGAAAACCCGGGGCUCAACCCCGGGCCUGCAGUCGAUACGGGCGGACUAGAGUGUCGUAGGGGAGACUGGAAUACCAGGUGUAGCGGUGAAAUGCGCAGAUAUCUGGUGGAACACCGGUGGCGAAGGCGGGUCUCUGGGCGACAACUGACGCUGAGAAGCGAAAGCGUGGGGAGCAAACAGGAUUAGAUACCCUGGUAGUCCACGCCGUAAACGAUGGGCGCUAGGUGUGGGGGCCAUUCCACGGCCUCUGUGCCGCAGCUAACGCAUUAAGCGCCCCGCCUGGGGAGUACGG